rnacentral:rRNA from 1 species
GACGAACCGUGCGAACGUUAUUCGGAAUCACUGGGCUUAAAGCGCGUGUAGGCGGGAGGGCACGUCCGUCGCUGAAAUCCCCCGGCUCAACCGGGGAACGGGCGCGGAUACGACCUUCCUUGAGGGGCGUAGGGGGACCUGGAACUUCCGGUGGAGCGGUGAAAUGCGUUGAGAUCGGAAGGAACGCCCGUGGCGAAAGCGGCGCGCUGGACCUCUUCUGACGCUGAGGCGCG